AGUGAACGCUGGCGGUAGGCCUAACACAUGCAAGUCGAACGGCAGCACAGUAAGAGCUUGCUCUUACGGGUGGCGAGUGGCGGACGGGUGAGGAAUACAUCGGAAUCUACUUUUUCGUGGGGGAUAACGUAGGGAAACUUACGCUAAUACCGCAUACGACCUACGGGUGAAAGCAGGGGAUCUUCGGACCUUGCGCGAUUGAAUGAGCCGAUGUCGGAUUAGCUAGUUGGCGGGGUAAAGGCCCACCAAGGCGAGGAUCCGUAGCUGGUCUGAGAGGAUGGGACGCGACAGUGGAACUGCGGCACGGCCCGGACCCCUACGGGAGGCCGCAGUCGGGAGUGUUACGCAAUGCGCGAAAGCGUGACGGAGCAGUGCCGGGUGAGUGAUGACGGUCUUCUGAUCCGAAAAUUCUGUUAUGAGCGAAGAACAUCUGUGUAAGUAAAUGUGAACAUCUUGACGGUAGCUAAUCAGAAAGCCACGGCUAACUACGUG
rnacentral:rRNA from 1 species